rnacentral:rRNA from 1 species
GAUGAACGCUGGCGGUAUGCUUAACACAUGCAAGUCGAACGGACUCUUCGGAGUUAGUGGCGGACGGGUGAGUAACGCGUGAGAAUCUGGCUUUGGGUUCGGGACAACCACUGGAAACGGUGGCUAAUACCGGAUGUGCCGAGAGGUAAAAGAGAAAUUGCCUGAAGAUGAGCUCGCGUCUGAUUAGCUAGUUGGUGAGGUAAAGGCUCACCAAGGCAGCGAUCAGUAGCUGGUCUGAGAGGAUGACCAGCCACACUGGGACUGAGACACGGCCCAGACUCCUACGGGAGGCAGCAGUGGGGAAUUUUCUGCAAUGGGCGAAAGCCUGACGGAGCAAUACCGCGUGAGGGAAGAAGGCUCUUGGGUUGUAAACCUCUUUUCUUAGGGAAGAACAAAAUGACGGUACCUAAGGAAUCAGCAUCGGCUAACUCCGUG